rnacentral:tRNA from 1 species
AAGUACUUAGUUAAUAAAUAAUAUAAGUUUGUCGGUCUUAAGUAGCCAGGGCAGUACUUA